rnacentral:rRNA from 1 species
AACGAACGCUGGCGGCAGGCUUAACACAUGCAAGUCGAGCGCCCCGCAAGGGGAGCGGCAGACGGGUGAGUAACGCGUGGGAAUCUACCCAUCUCUACGGAAUAACGCAUGGAAACGUGUGCUAAUACCGUAUACGUCCUUCGGGAGCAAGAUUUAUCGGAGAUGGAUGAGCCCGCGUUGGAUUAGCUAGUUGGUGGGGUAAAGGCCUACCAAGGCGACGAUCCAUAGCUGGUCUGAGUGGAUGAUCAGCCACACUGGGACUGAGACACGGCCCAGACUCCUACGGGAGGCAGCAGUGGGGAAUAUUGGACAAUGGGCGCAAGCCUGAUCCAGCCAUGCCGCGUGAGUGAUGAAGGCCCUAGGGUUGUAAAGCUCUUUCACCGGUGAAGAUAAUGACGGUAACCGGAGAAGAAGCCCCGGCUAACUUCGUGCCAGCCGCCGCGGUAACAC